CUAAAUGAGUCGUAUACAAAUAAAAUGGCGGGUCGACCCACAAUACACUGCGGCUAUAGCGAGUGUGACGUUUAUAUAUAUAUAGAACAUUCUCCAUUUUCGUAUAAUAGACUUUUUUUACAAAAAAAUAUAAAACAUCCUUGAUACAUUUUGUGCUGUUUGUGUUAAAUGUACAGACAAAAGAUUUUUAUUAAGUUAUUUUCCUCAACUGCACCUACACCCUGUCCGCACGAUUUAAAAAACAGCUGCUCCGCGAAAAAAGACGUUAAAUGGGGGACAGCUAUACUUGAAAAAUUUGGGAAACCAACACAGCCUGCCUCGCUGGUCCUGACUGAAAAAUCACUGUAGCCUGCGGUGUUCUGUCUGCAGCUGCCAGCACUAUUUUCUACGCCUGCAAGGUCUAUGAACCGAAUAUGCAGGAAGACGUCCAACUGGACCCUGACUUCCUAGAGGACCCAGAGUUUGUAGAUGACCAUGCUCCUCCUGCAACUUGGGAGGAGGCUACUGAAAGAGACAUCUAUUCCAGUAUUGGAAUUAAAGUCCAUUGCUCAGAUGACCUGCUGUUGCCAUGAAGAUGACAUGGCUUUAGUCGCCUGCCUUCAGGACUAAAACAGCUCUCCCUAUCUUCAGUAUAUUGACACCCUGGCUUUGUGGAUUGACAACAGCUUUCUGGAUCUUAAUGUAAGCAAAACCAAGGAGAUGUGGCUGGUGAGCAGCAAGAUGGGAGGCAACAAGAAUGCUGUGGCCACCUUCAAGCCAAUUAGUAUGAAGGGUCAUGAAGUGGAGCAAGUCACCGAAUUCAAAUAUCUUGGGACAAUAAUAGACAAUCAGUUAAGUUUCCAAAACCAUAUGGAUUAUGUGUACAAGAAAUGAAGACAGCGUCUGUCUCUUCUGAGGAAGCUCAGGAGUUUUAACACCAGCCAGCACACAAUGUCCAUGAUUUACAAAUCAUUGACUGAGAGUGUCCUGACGUUCAACAUAGUGUCAUGGUAUGGGCAACUUUCAG